UACAGAGGGUGCAAGCGUUAAUCGGAAUUACUGGGCGUAAAGCGUGCGUAGGCGGCCAACUAAGUCAGACGUGAAAUCCCUCGGCUUAACCGGGGAACUGCGUCUGAUACUGGAUGGCUUGAAUCCGGGAGAGGGAUGCGGAAUUCCAGGUGUAGCGGUGAAAUGCGUAGAUAUCUGGAGGAACACCGGUGGCGAAGGCGGCAUCCUGGACCGGCAUUGACGCUGAGGAGCGAAAGCCAGGGGAGCAAACGGG
rnacentral:rRNA from 1 species